rnacentral:rRNA from 1 species
AGAACGAACGCUGGCGGCAGGCCUCAAACAUGCAAGUCUAGGGGGGCGUAGCAAUACGUCACCGGCGGACGGGUGCGUAACACGUGGGAAUGUACUUACUGGUUCGGAACAACUCAGGGAAACUUGAGCUAAUACCGAAUGUGCCCGAAAGGGGAAAGAUUUAUCGCCAGUAAAUCAGCCCGCGUCCGAUUAGCUAGUUGGUGGGGUAAAGGCCCACCAAGGCGACGAUCGGUAGCUGUUCUGAGAGGAAGAUCAGCCACACUGGGACUGAGACACGGCCCAGACUCCUACGGGAGGCAGCAGUUGGGAAUCUUGGACAAUGGGGAAACCUGAUCCAGCCAUGCCGCGUGAGUGAUGAAGGCCUUCGGGUUGUAAAACUCUUUCGACGGGGACGAUAAUGACGGUACCCGUAGAAGAGCUCCGGCUAACUUCGCGCCAGCAGCCGC